rnacentral:rRNA from 1 species
GAUGAACGCUGGCGGCGUGCCUAAUACAUGCAAGUCGAGCGAACAGAUGAGGAGCUUGCUCCUCUGACGUUAGCGGCGGACGGGUGAGUAACACGUGGAUAACCUACCUAUAAGACUGGGAUAACUUCGGGAAACCGGAGCUAGUACCGGAUAAUAUAUUGAACCGCAUGGUUCAAUAGUGAAAGACGGUUUUGCUGUCACUUAUAGAUGGAUCCGCGCCGCAUUAGCUAGUUGGUAAGGUAACGGCUUACCAAGGCAACGAUGCGUAGCCGACCUGAGAGGGUGAUCGGCCACACUGGAACUGAGACACGGUCCAGACUCCUACGGGAGGCAGCAGUAGGGAAUCUUCCGCAAUGGGCGAAAGCCUGACGGAGCAACGCCGCGUGAGUGAUGAAGGUCUUCGGAUCGUAAAACUCUGUUACUAGGGAAGAACAAAUGUGUAAGUAACUAUGCACGUCUUGACGGUACCUAAUCAGAAAGCCACGGCUAACUACGUG